rnacentral:rRNA from 1 species
UUCAUUGAGAGUUUGAUCCUGGCUCAGGAUGAACGUUGGCGGUGUGUCUAAGGCAUGCAAGUCGAGGGAUCGGCCCGCCAUUUCUUCGGAAAUAUUGGGUACGGACCGGCAAACGGGAGAGUAACACAUUGGUAACCUACCUUCGAGUCAAGCAUAGCCCAGGGAAACCUGGAUUAAUACUUGAUAGUCAUGAGGGGUCUUCGGACAUUCUCAUGUAAAGAUUUAUCGCUCGAAGAGGGGCCUAUGGCCUAUCAGUUAGUUGGUGAGGUAAAAGCUCACCAAGACUAUGACGGGUACCGGGCGUGAGAGCGUGACCCGGCUCACUGGGACUGAGAUACGGCCCAGACUCCUACGGGAGGCUGCAGUCAAGAAUAUUCCACAAUGCCCGAAAGGGUGAUGGAGCGACACCGCGUGCAGGAAGACGGCCCUUGGGUUGUAAACUGCUUUUAUAUGGGAAGAAU